rnacentral:rRNA from 1 species
GACGAACGCUGGCGGCGUGCUUAACACAUGCAAGUCGAACGGAAAGGCCCUGCUUGCCGGGUACUCGAGUGGCGAACGGGUGAGUAACACGUGGGUGAUCUGCCCUGCACUUCGGGAUAAGCUUGGGAAACUGGGUCUAAUACCGGAUAGGAACCAUCUUUAGUGUGGUGGUUGGAAAGUUUUUUCGGUGUAGGAUGAGCUCGCGGCCUAUCAGCUUGUUGGUGGGGUAAUGGCCUACCAAGGCGGCGACGGGUAGCCGGCCUGAGAGGGUGUACGGCCACAUUGGGACUGAGAUACGGCCCAGACUCCUACGGGAGGCAGCAGUGGGGAAUAUUGCACAAUGGGCGCAAGCCUGAUGCAGCGACGCCGCGGGGGGGAUGAAGGCCUUCGGGUUGUAAACUCCUUUCGCUAGGGACGAAGCUUUUUGUGACGGUACCUAAAUAAGAAGCACCGGCUAACUACGUG